rnacentral:rRNA from 1 species
GACGUAGGUCCCAAGCGUUAUCCGGAUUUACUGGGCGUAAAGGGCGUGUAGGUGGCUUGGUCCGUCGGUUGUUUAAACCCACAGCUCAACUGUGGAUCUGCAAUCGAUACAAUCAAGCUAGAGUUAGGUAGGGGCGAGCGGAAUUCUCGGAGUAGGGGUGAAAUCCAUUGAUACCGAGAGGAACACAAAGGGCGAAGGCAGCUCGCUGGGCCAUAACUGACACUGAGGCGCGAAAGCGUAGGGAGCAAACGGG